CUUAAUUUCAGGAGUGUGGUGUGACUAUAGGGCCCUGACAGAGCAAGUGGCUCAAGAAUGCACCUGCAAAAGUCCUACUUGGAGCUCUUUGGGACAUGGGAUUGCUCAUAGCUAGCAGCAGCGGGCCUGGAUUGAGGAGCUUCGCAACAAUUUGCUCCUGUCUCUGGCAGUCUGACAUCGAUAAUGGCCACGGAAGG